AUGAGAAAACCAGGUAGGUUGACGGCAUGUUUUUCUGUCCCAUCCCUAUAUCACAUGUGGGUUCUAGUCUUGUACAGAACAGGGAGUCCUAAUGACAACCGAGUCGGGAGCCCCCUAUUCAAACACCUUGUAUUUGCACAAAAGGUGCAAGGCAAAUGCAUUGCUAAGAGAACCUUGUCUGUGUAUGGUGUCUCAUGCCCCCUCACACGUGUCCAGGGAACACAAGAUUUGACAUGA